ACGCACGCUGGCGGCGUGCUUCACACCUGCCAGUCGAACGGAAAGGCCCUGCUUUUGUGGGGUGCUCGAGUGGCGAACGGGUGAGUAACACGUGAGUAACCUGCCCUUGACUUUAGGAUAACUUCAGGAAACUGGGGCUAAUACGGGAUAGGAGCUCCUGCUGCAUGGUGGGGGUUGGAAAGUUUCGGCGGUUGGGGAUGGACUCGCGGCUUAUCAGCUUGUUGGUGGGGUAGUGGCUUACCAAGGCUUUGACGGGUAGCCGGCCUGAGAGGGUGACCGGCCACAUUGGGACUGAGAUACGGCCCAGACUCAUACGGGAGGCAGCAGUGGGGAAUAUUGCACAAUGGGCGGAAGCCUGAUGCAGCAACGCCGCGUGCGGGAUGACGGCCUUCGGGUGGUAAACCGCUUUCGCCUGUGACGAAGCGUGAGUGACGGUAAUGGGUAAAGAAGCACCGGCUAACUACGG
rnacentral:rRNA from 1 species